rnacentral:lncRNA from 10 species
CCUCGGUGCCAGAUCUCCUAGAUGCCCACCUACAGGUAAGGCAUCUUACCAGUUCUUAUGCACUGCAAUGGCCACUAGAUAGAUUUGAUGCUAACCAUCUUAAAUCAGAGUUCCUCCAUUCUUGAGCUACUGAUGUUGACUCAUCAUGUAUGUGCAUGCACAUGAGUUUAAAGAAGAGCUCCAGGGUUCUAUAUUGUCUAAGUUUUGUUUCAGAAUGUCUUUCUCUUGAUACUAUAUUUGACUGAAAAUAAAACUUGAGUCAUA